rnacentral:tRNA from 1 species
UGGGUCUGAGUGGACUCGAACCACCGACCUCACCCUUAUCAGGGGUGCGCUCUAACCACCUGAGCUACAGACCC